AGCUGUGGAGCAGUGGUGCAGGAAAGCCCUAAAACUCAGGUGUGGCCUGUCUUAUUUCACUGGUGAUAAGCAGUUUCUCCACAAGCCGAUGUCCAAGGAUCUUUCCCUUUAUACUUAGAGCAGUCAGAAGUGGCCACUGAGCACUAUGGUACAUUCUGCAUCAAUGACUUCUCUGUUCUUCAAGGUGCUCUGAUUGAGAGGCACAUGGUUAUAAGAAUAUCCUGGCUACACAUACAGUUACAUCCUGCUGGAGUUCAUGUGAUUCAGCCAAGCUUUGUACCUCACUGAUCUCUGGAGACUGUAGAGAAGAUGUGCCCAGCCAGCCCUGACCUGAGAAGAUGAGCUCUGCUGAACAGUACUAAGGGGUGAGAUGGGACCAGAAGGACCUCAGACCACGUGUGCUUUCAGCACAGUGAGGCCAGGGGUCUUGUUGACUAUUACUGUACUAAGAUAAUAUGGUACUUUUAAACAAGCUGCCUCUCCAGAUUACCCUUACAUCACAAAAGAACUGUAUAAUACCUUGGAAUUAGAGUAGACAAGAUUUCAUUAUUUUUCAAUUUCAGGGCUGUUGUAAUGCAGACAGUCCACUUAAUACAUACAGCUUUUCAUUCUUUCUUAUUUAUUUAUUUGUUUUCCGUGCUUAAAUUUAGUAACAUUGUAAGAGAAUGUCACACUUCUGCUGAUGCAGAGGUCCUAAUUCCUUCAUUUUGUCCUGGCUAAGCUACUGCAGAGAUUCGUUUCUCACUAAUAACUGCGUGUGCAAUUAACAGCUGAUGCAAAAAUCCCCUGCCUGAUCUCUGCUGGCAUUGAAUAGCUACAGCUAAUAACUACAGAUUUGGCCCUGCUACAAGUCUUGUUGUUAAUAUGAACUCAUAUUAGUUUCAAGGUGUUCUUGUUACAUUAGGAAGACCUUUCAUUUAAUUAACGGAUAUCUGACACUUCUUGAACCACACUUUUCUGUACAUCUCCAUUUUUCCCAAGUCACAAAGUCUUGGCAUUGGCUUCUAAGAUAAAUGACAACUGACAACUGGUAACUUGCCCGCUAGGCAACGUUUUCUGCAAAUGUUAAUACCUGGGUGUUCACAAACCCUUAGUCUCUUCAGUGACAGUCCCUGCAGGAAAUUUUACUGUGUGAAACAAAUAUAGGACAGCUGCAUAUAUGUUCCUGAUUUGCUAAUAUAGCACAUUAGCAAGAAAACAUUGCCAAAAGAAGUCAAGACCACUUCAAUCCAAGACAGUGGUUUAAUUUCCAUAAUUUUCAUUACAGAUUACAGCCUUUGAAAGCACUUAAUGUUGUGAGGAUGUAACAAAAAUGGCAGCUGAUGUGAUUUAGUUUCUCUUAAAAGGGCCUCAUUUCUAUUUCCUUCUCAGGCUACUUAGUUCGUCCUAUCAUUAUUGAAUAUUGGCAGAAAACAGGGCUGUAAGGGAAAUCUCAUGAGAAUUUAUAAUUUUUCUCAGCAUAGCUUUCUGCCAGUUUUACAAGUGAAAUUUUACAGGUGCAGAUGCAAGCACACUGGAGAAAACAGGAAAGUGGAGGUGAGUGAGCAAAAAGCAAAUAGCUAAUUGAAAAUUUUUGGAGAUGAUUGUAUCCAUCAUUAGUUUUCCCAUGUUUUGUUUCUAUUUUCUCUAAGAUAAGGAAAAAUUCAACAUAUUAAAAACUUUUUCAUCUUCUAAUCUAAUCUAGUGGAUUUGUACAACAAAGUGAGCUACUAGUUGUCUCUAAUAAGUAAAGUAGCACAAAAUACUACUCCAUUGGAGAGCUUAUAAUGCAAGAAAAUAGGAACAUUCAGUUCCUGCGGGGAAAUGCGAUGCUGGGAGAAAAUUGUCAGUAGUUGUAUGUAUAUAUGUAUGCAAUGUUAAUCAUUUUUGUUAUAUUUGUAAGUGUAUAUACUUGCGUUGUACAAUCUAAGCAUGAUGUAAUGACAUGGGAUAAGGGAUGGAUACUGUUCUGGUUUUGUCAGUAUUUCAUAUCACAACAUGAUGCAGCGAGCUGUUUGGUGCUGGAGCACAGUGCUGGGGAGAAGAAUCUCCAUGGGUACUGUGCUUCUAGCAGUCCCAGCUAUUCUCAUGUGAAUUCCAACUCUCUGAGAGGAAGAUACACUGAAGAGACAGGCUCCCAGAAGUAUCCAGUACUCCUCAUGUGAUUUCCAGUUCUGGGUGAAUUGGGGGGAGAGCUCUCUGCCUGUCUAGGAGGCCAGCCAUGAGAGCCUGCCAGUAAGAUCUCAGACUCUCUCUCCUCUCCUCUUUUGUUUUUUUGUUCAUUUCAAUUAUUAUUCUUAAUUAUUCUGUAUUA